rnacentral:rRNA from 1 species
UGCCAGCCGCCGCGGUAAUACGGAGGAUGCGAGCGUUGUUCGGAAUCACUGGGCUUAAAGCGCAUGUAGGCGGAAUGUAAGGUGUCAUGUGAAAGCCCCCGGCUCAACCGGGGAAUUGCUAGGCAAACCGACAUUCUUGAGGCAAGUAGAGGCGACUGGAACCUUUGGUGGAGAGGUGAAAUUCGUAGAUAUCAAAGGGAACGCCGGUGGCGAAAGCGGGUCGCUGGGCUUGUCCUGACGCUGAGAUGCGAAAGCGUAGGUAGCGAACGGGAUUAGAUA